rnacentral:rRNA from 1 species
GACGAACGCUGGCGGCGUGCUUAACACAUGCAAGUCGAACGGAAAGGCCCUGCUUUUGUGGGGUGCUCGAGUGGCGAACGUGUGAGUAACACGUGAGUAACCUGCCCUUGACUUUGGGAUAACUUCAGGAAACUGGGGCUAAUACCGGCUAGGAGCUCCUGCUGCAUGGUGGGGGUUGGAAAGUUUCGGCGGUAGGGGAUGGACUCGCGGCUUAUCAGCUUGUUGGUGGGGGAGUGGCUUACCAGGGCUUCGACGGAUAGCCGGCCUGGGAGGGGGACCGGCCACAUGGGGACUAAGAGACGGCGCAGACUCCUACGGGAGGCAGCAGGGGGGAAUAUUGCACAACGGGCGGAAGCCUGAUACAGCAACGCCGCGUGCGGGAUGACGGCCUUCGGGUUGUAAACCGCUUUCGCCUGUGACGAAGCGUGAGUGACGGUAAUGGGUAAAGAAGCACCGGCUAACUACGUG